GUGCUUGCCUCGGCAGCAUAUAUACUAACAUUGGAACAAUACAGAAAAGAUUAGCAUGGCUGCUGCACAAGGAUGACAUACAAAUUCAUGAAGCAUUCAAUAUCUUU
ensembl:snRNA U6 U6 spliceosomal RNA